UACAGAGGUCUCAAGCGUUUGUUCGGAUUCAUUGGGCGUAAAGGGUGCGUAGGUGGCGGGGUAAGUCAGGUGUGAAAUCUCGGGGCUCAACCCCGAAACUGCAUUUGAUACUGCCUUGCUCGAGUACUGGAGAGGAGAUUGGAAUUUACGGUGUAGCAGUGAAAUGCGUAGAUAUCGUAAGGAAGACCAGUGGCGAAGGCGAAUCUCUGGACAGUUACUGACACUGAGGCACGAAGGCCAGGGGAGCAAACCGGG
rnacentral:rRNA from 1 species